CACACACACACACACACAUAAUCUUAGCUCCUCCCCUUUGAAACAGCUGGUUCUCUCAUAAAUGAGUUCUGAAGCGUGGAAGUCGAAGAUCAAGACGCUGGCAGCGCUGUUUCUGAGGUAGGUGGGAAAGAACAGACUGAUGUUGGGAAACAUGGCUCUUACACCUAAAGUGCAUUGUCUUGUGGCCAAAGUAGUGAAGAAGGAGGACUUUGGCGGCAGCUGCACAGCUUUUGAUGCUGAAUUUUAGAUGCCCAUUAUAUACCCAAGAGGAAACAUGAAGCAGAGAGACAGAGAGAGCAAGAACACAAGCAGGGGGAGUCGGAGAGGGAGAAGCAGGCUUUCAGCCGGUGCAGGGCUUGAUCCCAGGAUGCUGGGAUCAUGACCUGAGCCGAAGGCAGAUGCCCAGCGACUGAGCCACCCAGAGAGAAUGAGAGAGCACGCAAAUAGUGGGGAGAAAGAGGGAGAAGAAGACUCCCCACCAAGCAGGGAGCCUGACGCCAGGCUCAGUCCCAGGACCCCAGGAUCAUGACCAGAGCUGAAGACAGACACCCAACCAUCUGAGCCACCCAGCAGAAACAAGAGCUAACACUUCUUGAGUGCCUACUAUGGACCAAGCAGAUAAACUGAAGAACAGAAAGUCACCCAGGGCCCACAGCUCAUCAGGGACACAGCCACGAUGUAAAUCCCAGCAGUGUAACCCCAAGCGUCUCCUUUGUACGGUGCUGAUUUUACCAUCUGCAAUUUGGCAAGAGAAACAGUCAGAUUUGGUCUUUUUGUUUCAUUUUAAUAUCAUAAUCAAGCAGAUGUCAUCAAAGAGUGUUAUUUUUUUUUCAGUCCUCAAUGUGCUGAAACCUCAGCACAUUAAAAAUUAGAGAAGUUUAUGUCAAUCAAGAGGCUCUUUUCUGCCCUCUCUCUCCUCCUCCUUCCGCGAGCUAAGAGGAGCAGAGGAAUUUCCAGAACCUGGUCAUUCUGUACAAAGGCGGACACCCAGCACAAAUGUGCUCGUGAACUGAAACUGCAACUAAGUGGUUACAUUUACAAAUCCAUAGGAGAGAAGAAAGGAUACAGUAUAGCAGUCUGAGAUUUCUUUUCAAGCCUGGGACUCAAAGGUCAACCAUGGGUAAUUAGGGAAAAAUUAUUACCCUGUUUUCAAAACAGAGAAACCAAAGGGACUGGAUUUGCCUUUACAACUUAAAACACAGCUGCUCAGCAUGACUCUCAUUCUGGUAGAAUAAAGAAAUUAAAUCCAACAAAUAAUUUUGUGUUUAAAAGUUGCUUGGAGAAGAAAUUGGGUUGGUUAAGGGCACAACAGAGCUCUCUGUAUUAUCUUUGUAAUUUCCUGUAAGUCUAUAAUUUUUCCAAAAUAAAUUUUUUUUAAGUUCCUUCA